UUAACCUUUCCACUUCACCUUCUGCCUGUGUUUCUUCUGUCGUCCAGUUGCUUUGGUUCUUCUCAUUUGCAGACUUGCUAAAGAUACCAAAACAUGUCAAAAAAAGAAAAACUGUUUCUUUUAACCUCAGAAUCUGUUGCUGGAGGACAUUUGGAUAUGCUAUGUGAUCAUAUAAGUGAGGCUGUUCUCAGCCUUAUCUCAAAUGCUCACCUCAGAACUGAUCCAGAUGCUAAGGUUGUCUAUGAGUGUGUGACAAAACCUGGAAUGAUUUUGUUCUGUGGAGAGAUGACAUCUCAGGCUACAGUAGUUUAUCAACAAAUUGUAGUUGGACCCUUAAGAGAAUAGAAUGUGAUUACUUCCACAGGUCACAAUGGAGAACAAGGAAUAUAAUGGUGCACUGGAACCCAUUUAAGUGCACUCAUGCACUGGACAUACAGCUACAACAACUACAGAAUGAGCUGAUGGAGAAAGUUGUUAAAAACAUUCUCUGAUUCCAAAGAAAGAUUUUGAUGAGGGCACCAUUUAUCAUCUCCUUCUAAGUGAAAAGUUUGUAGAAGGUGGUCCUAAGGCUGAUGCUAGACUGACUAGGCAGAAGAGGAUUGUUGAGGGCUGGGGAGCCCAUGGUGGAGGUGCAUUCUUUGGAAAAGAUCCCUCCGAAGUUGAUCAUUGUGCAGCUCACUUGGAUUGCAAAAGGAUUGCAAAAUCUCUGGUGAAAGUGGUUCUCUGUAGAAGAUAAUUAAUGCAGGGAAAGAGGACAAACUUCUGAUGUCUUCAUAUGCACAUUUUGAGAGUUUUUUUGAACAUCCACAUCACUGAUUUUUGAGUUAGGUGGGAAUGUUGUUAUUCCAGUAAUUCUCAAAGACCCUUCUUAAAUACCAGAACCUGUCUCUAUACACGAAAGAGCGAUCUUUUUAACAGCAAAUUGUGGAGAUCUCAGAUACUAGCAAUGAAGAUAAGAUGGGAAGAUGGAAGACCAGAAAGGCCAAUGUCCUUUGAAGUCUUGAAGGCUGCAUUAAAGAUUAACAAAAGGAAAAAUGUGUCAAGUGGAAAUGCAAAAGUGAUUUCAGCCUACAGUCUGUGUGCUACACUGAGACCUUGCCAGGCUUCACUGAAGCUGACAACUGAGCUGGGUCUCCUAUGGAUAUUGUUUUCAUGCUAACCAUCUCUCACAACAAAAGGGAAAAAAUCGAUAAUAGAGGGAGUUGUAUUUGAAGAGGCCAAUCUAUGAAAAAACAGCAUGCUAUGGGCACUUUGGAAGAGAAGAAUUUUCAUGGGAAAUAUCCAAAAAGCCUGUGUUUUAAGCUUUUCAAAAUGGUUCAUGUUACUGAAGUGUGGUUUAAUAAUCAGGUAAAAUUCCAAACUGUUGAAGAAGAGACUGUAUUUACUCUUUUAAAAGUGGCAUUCUGUAAUUAAUAGAUACCCUGAAAAUUACUUCUAUUUGGUUUCAAACUUCCACAGUCUCCUUACAGCUUUAAUGCACGCGGCUCUAUCUAGGACAGUAUUCAGCUUUGAUUGGGUAACUUGAAUAAUUUAGGACUUUGAUAUGAUCAGACAUCAAAAUGAUUGUGGAUAUUGAUGCCAUUCCUAUUCUGCCAGAGAAAUCCGCUAUUGCUUAUCCAAUUAACUUCAUACUGAAGUGGAUAAAGUUGGUAACUUUAGGAGCUCCCUAUGAGAGGAGAAAUAGCACAAAUUGCUGUAAUUACUUCACCCAGAACUUCUGUAACCACAGCUUUAGUAAGUUACUUCUGUUACAUUUAAACAAAUCAGUAGAAAUACCCAUUUCUGAACAUUGGUCUUUGUAUCUGUACAUAUACCUAGCUCUUAGGUAGUGUUAUUUGUUUGCUUUCAACAGCAUGAUUUUGUAGUUGUAUCUGUGAAAAUUGAUGAAAUCCUAUGUUGUAAUUCUUUUAUUCAUUUAUAGUUAUUAUCUUAAACUUGUAUUUUCCAUGUCUGCAUGAAUUGGAAUUGGUUGUAUAAAUUUUCAAUUAAGUUUAUUUUGGCCACUUCUGGAAUGUAGUAAAAUGUAAAAAACACUUGGAGGACAUGACUUUCCUUUUACUUUUCUGGCUGAAAGUGUAAAAGUCAGAGAAGGCAUUCAAAAUCAUUUAGCUUCUCUUCAAGGACUAGAGAGGAUGAAAGUGCUUGAAUAUCAAAAAUAGCAAUUCUAGCAAGAAAAUUUAUUAUUAAAUUGGUAACUAAGACAUAAUAUUGAAAUGCUGCAACUUCUGUGAUACCAGGGAAUUUUAUUAAUCAACAAAGCAUUACGGCUGCCUUGCCCCUCUUAACAGAAAGAUAAAGACUCCAGUGGUAAGUCUAACCAAAUGCAAGCAGCUGAUUAUAUCCUCAGUCUCAAUCAAGUUUUAAAAGUUUCUUCCUUUCACGCAAAGACUGACCAAUCCACUGCUCCAUUGAUAGACCAAAGCUGAAAUGAGGUCACUGUGCAUCUGUCCCUGUCCUGGUACAGUUAAUUUCAUCUAGCACAGGAGUGCUGCAUUCAGUCCUUGUGACCUAUACAUGAGGCAUAAUUUUCUUCCAUAAGAAAACAAAACUAAUUUCUGCAAUUCUUUUGUGAGCAUUUUUUACAGUUUUUUUCAUUUAAUAACAAGUUUUCCUUUUUAUCACAGGACCCUGGAUCCUAUAAUUGCCUGAAAAUAAUACAGUUUAGUUUGCAUAUGGCCAUGUAGGCAUAAAAUCUAUCAUUAACCUUUAUGAAAAUUUGUUCAAGUUAGUAUUGUCUCAGAAAUGGUAAUGUAGCUUGCUGAUUCUGAAAUGUCAGAAUGACUUCCACUUCUAGUAACGUGGAUGUACAAUGUUUAAAUGGCAUGGGAUUGCAGACAUGACCACAAGUAAGAUGACUGUAACGAUCUUUUAAAAGAAAGUUCAGUAAAUGGACAUAUAGUCUCAAUUUUACAGCUGUCUCAAUUACAGCUAGUAUCAACUUUACUGUCAUAAUACUUGACCCUUCUAAAGUGAAACAGUGAUGCUUUGGUUCUCACAGAAGAAGACAAUUUUGAUAAAGUCUUUUGUUAAAUUUAAUAAAGAAAUAAUUUGUUCAA